UACAGAGGUGGCAAGCGUUGUUCGGAAUUACUGGGCGUAAAGGGCGCGUAGGCGGCCUUCUAAGUCAGACGUGAAAUCCCCCGGCUUAACCUGGGAACUGCGUCUGAUACUGGGAGGCUUGAGUAUGGGAGAGGGAUGUAGAAUUCCAGGUGUAGCGGUGAAAUGCGUAGAUACCUGGAGGAAUACCGGUGGCGAAGGCGGCAUCCUGGACCAUAACUGACGCUGAGGCGCGAAAGCUAGGGGAGCAAACGGG
rnacentral:rRNA from 1 species